GAAGGACCUAUAAACAUUUCUUAGAUAAAGAGAACAUAUGUCCAGACCUUAUCUGCACACAGUCAAAGGUCCUAAAUCAGUCACUUCACAAUGAGGCUACCCUUACCUCAUGUAGAAAGCCAGUGCUACAGGCAACCUUACUUGAUGCAAGCUACGAGGAGAAUUUCCCUCAGAUUGAUCCUAUGCAUGAGCAACCCGAGCCGUUGGAAAGCAACACAUCACAGACGACCUUACUUGAUGCAAGCUACGAGGAGAAUUUCUCCCAGAUUGAUCCUAUGCAUGAGCAACCCGAGCCGUUGGAAAGCAACACAUCACAGACAACCUUACUUGAUGCAAGCUACGAGGAGAAUUUCUCCCAGAUUGAUCCUAUGUAUGAGCAACCCGAGCCGUUGGAAAGCAACACAUCACAGGUACUAUUACACACAUGUGAUGGACCACAUCAGUUUACAGUGAUAUCACUAUCAAAGCAUGUUCAAAGUUGUGAAAUAUCAACAAAAAUCUAAUUGUAUAAACUUUGCCAAAUUUAUACAUUGCUAAUUUUAUAUAUUUUUCAAAAUAUACGAUAAUACAGACAACCUUACUUGAUGCAAGCUACGAGGAGAAUUUCUCCCAGAUUGAUCCUAUGAAUGAGCAACCCGAGCCGUUGGAAAGCAACACAUCACAGGUACUAUUACACACAUGUGAUGGACCACAUCAGUUUACAAUUAUAUCAAUAUCAAAGCAUGUUCAAAGUUGUGAAAUAUCAACAAAAAUCUAAUUGUAUAAACUUUGCCAAAUUUAUAAAAUGCUAAUUUUAUAUAUUUUUCAAUACGUACGAUAAUACAGACAACCUUACUUGAUGAAAGCUAUGAGGAGAAUUUCCCCCAGAUUGAUCCUAUGCAUGAGCAACCCGAGCCGUUGGAAAGCAACACAUCACAGGUAAUAUUACACACAUGUGAUGGACCACAUCAGUUUACAGUGACACAAAU